AGUGAACGCUGGCGGUAGGCCUAACACAUGCAAGUCGAACGGCAGCACAGUAAGAGCUUGCUCUUACGGGUGGCGAGUGGCGGACGGGUGAGGAAUACAUCGGAAUCUACUUUUUCGUGGGGGAUAACGUAGGGAAACUUACGCUAAUACCGCAUACGACCUACGGGUGAAAGCAGGGGAUCUUCGGACCUUGCGCGAUUGAAUGAGCCGAUGUCGGAUUAGCUAGUUGGCGGGGUAAAGGCCCACCAAGGCGACGAUCCGUAGCUGGUCUGAGAGGAUGAUCAGCCACACUGGAACUGAGACACGGUCCAGACUCAUACGGGAGGCAGCAGUGGGGAAUAUUGGACAAUGGGCGCAAGUCUGAUACAGCCAUACCGCGUGGGUGAAGAAGGCCUUCGGGUUGUAAAGCCCUUUUGUUGGGAAAGAAAAGCAGCAGGUUAAUACCCCGCUGUUCUGACGGUACCCAAAGAAUAAGCACCGGCUAACUUCG
rnacentral:rRNA from 1 species